rnacentral:lncRNA from 1 species
GGUGGGACGACCAGAUGAAGCCACCGAAUUUCUAUUAUACUUGCUCAAAAAGGGUUUACGCCUUACGAUAUGCAAGUCCUUGUGCUGCUCCAAGCAUAAUUUGCAGUCUUCUUUUCCAUGGAAGAGCUUCAUGAUAUGUACUGAACAGAUGAUCCUCUAAGCUUUUAUUUGGCAUGAACUCGUAGACUAACAGCCGUUGGAUCCCUCGUUCGCCAUCUACCGCACAGUAUCCUAUUAGUUUGACCAAAUUUGGGUGGUCAACCACACCAAGAAAUUGUACUUCAGCUACCCAUUGUUUGUGGCCCUGCAUUUUGCAACAAGAUUA